rnacentral:rRNA from 1 species
GAUGAACGCUGGCGGCGUGCCUAAUACAUGCAAGUCGAGCGAACGGACGAGAAGCUUGCUUCUCUGAUGUUAGCGGCGGACGGGUGAGUAACACGUGGAUAACCUACCUAUAAGACUGGGAUAACUUCGGGAAACCGUAGCUAAUACCGGAUAAUAUUUCGAACCGCAUGGUUCAAAAGUGAAAGACGGUCUUGCUGUCACUUAUAGAUGGAUCCGCGCUGCAUUAGCUAGUUGGUAAGGUAACGGCUUACCAAGGCAACGAUGCAUAGCCGACCUGAGAGGGUGAUCGGCCACACUGGAACUGAGACACGGUCCAGACUCCUACGGGAGGCAGCAGUAGGGAAUCUUCCGCAAUGGGCGAAAGCCUGACGGAGCAACGCCGCGUGAGUGAUGAAGGUCUUCGGAUCGUAAAACUCUGUUAUUAGGGAAGAACAUAUGUGUAAGUAACUGUGCACAUCUUGACGGUACCUAAUCAGAAGGCCACGGCUAACUACGUG